CCAGAGUCCAUACUUCAUACAUAUGGAGGAGGAGGUGGUCUUGGUAUCUUAAUAUUCUUCAAAGGACCAUUUACGAAAAGGACAUUGCAAGUUUGAUCAUUUACACGUUUCAAAGCAGUUAUUCUACACCUUAAAACCAAAAACAACAUAGUUUGAAAUCAACCACUUGAGGACACAUAGUGAAUAUAUAUCACACAUCAGCGUGGCACUGUUUUGCUAACCAAAAGAUAUCAGUCGACUUCAUUGUCUCCAUCUCGUGGUAGUUCAGUCAGUCUUUCCAGUGCCCCAAGCGAGAAAGCUCUUCACAUAUUAAUCAGUUUUCAAGCUCAUCGAUUUGCUAUCCCAAAUCAAAGCCUUUCUUUCUUCAUCGCAUUUUAAUCGUUUUUAAUCUUCCCAUCUCGUAUCCAGUGAGAAUCGUAAUGUUUCACUGUUUUAAGCCAAUAACUGAAUUUAAAGGGGUUACGUAAAGAUACCAGCUAUAUAAACAUUUUAAUGAUAUCUUAACAUCUUUAAUCUACUUAAAUAGAAAAAAAAGUAGAUUGUGUUAUUGUCUAAUGUCUAGGAUCUUGUUUUUAGUUAUUAAGUCAUGAUCUUAUACAUGCCCGCCCUUCCAUAAGCCCAAUAAAUUUCCACUUUAAGACACAUUACUACUAGAAAAUAUUAAGGCCCACAUUUGAAAUCUUUUAUUACAAUUUGUAAGUGAUAAUCAGGUGGUAAUCACUCUUGGCAAAGUGGUACAGUCAUUCUGAUGAGCCCCCUAUCCAUAUUGCAUGGGUAUCUUAAAUUUUG
rnacentral:lncRNA from 1 species